rnacentral:rRNA from 1 species
GACGAACGCUGGCGGCGUGCCUAAUACAUGCAAGUAGAACGCACAGUUUAUACCGUAGCUUGCUACACCAUAGACUGUGAGUUGCGAACGGGUGAGUAACGCGUAGGUAACCUGCCUGGUAGCGGGGGAUAACUAUUGGAAACGAUAGCUAAUACCGCAUAAUAUUGAUUAUUGCAUGAUAAUUGAUUGAAAGAUGCUAUUGCAUCACUACCAGAUGGACCUGCGUUGUAUUAGCUAGUAGGUGAGGUAACGGCUCACCUAGGCGACGAUACAUAGCCGACCUGAGAGGGUGAUGGGCCACACUGGGACUGAGACACGGCCCAGACUCCUACGGGAGGCAGCAGUAGGGAAUCUUCGGCAAUGGACGAAAGUCUGACCGAGCAACGCCGCGUGAGUGAAGAAGGUUUUCGGAUCGUAAAGCUCUGUUGUAAGAGAAGAACGGGUGUGAGAGUGGAAAGUUCACACUGUGACGGUAUCUUACCAGAAAGGGACGGCUAACUACGUG